UAUUUCUAUGUCUGUCUCCGUUUCAGGACAUUAACAUUGUGUCAAAACAGGUAUAUGUGGGCAAACAAGUUACAGGACCAAAACAUAAAAAAUGACUCCCCAAAAGGUACAAAAAAGUGGAUGCAAUGCAUAAUCAAUUUUGCAAUUUGUAUAUUUGAUUGUGUUUUCCUAAGCACGUCUGCCAGGCUUCUACCUGCCACACAGAGGAAGCAGCAAGGGAUAUUUGUUUAGUGAUGUUCUCCUUUAACCUCAUCAGCACACGGCACAGAGCCAUGAGUCACUCUCUGCAUAUCUUCACUGUUUUUGUCAACAAGAUGCAGCCGCUCCAGCAGCCUGGGCCCAGCUGGGUCAAAGGCUUCUUGGCUAAGCUUAGGGGAUACAUCUGCCCCUGGAAGUAUAGCCAGAACCACCAAACUACCGAGCCACCCAUCCACAGACUCCCAGCUUCCUCAGUGCUUAGAAUGCAGCCAUAUUGCCAUUGUUACCCUGCAGCGGAUGGAAUGAAUGGAGGAAUAGAAGCGAAACGUUGGAAUUCCUCAGCUGAGCGGCUAAGGGGAAAAACUGAAGAGAAGCUAGAAUCCCCUGUACAAAAAUAAAUAGAAUCACUCCAGAACAUUGAAUAAUUGAAUAUGGGUCGAAGCAAAUGCUAGGAUAUGAUUGGCAAACAUCAGAGGACAGAGAUUCUAUUUGUAAUUCUCAAUCCUCUAAUUUGAACCCUGAAUGCGAUUGGCCAGGACUGAUGCUAGUUGACCUCAGCAGCAGGAAACACAUACAUAAAAUAGUCCAGACCUAUGAGCCUGUGACCUUAAAUCAUGAAAUGUUCCUCACUUAUAAAAACAAUGUCAGAAGAAGUGCAACGUUUUUUAAUUACUAAUUAGCACCGCACUCACAACUUCACACACACUUGCUCAAACAAUAAAAAUACCUUAGCAUACGGAUAAAUGAACCUCCUCCAUGGUCAGGCCAUGUCAGUUCUGCUCUCUGCCUCUUAGAAAGGUUGUGACAACAAAAACAACAUAUUCAGUUGUGUGUUUCAGUGCGUGUGCAUUUGCGUGUGUCUG
rnacentral:lncRNA from 1 species